rnacentral:rRNA from 1 species
UACAGAGGUCUCAAGCGUUGUUCGGAUUCAUUGGGCGUAAAGGGUGCGUAGGCGGCGCGGUAAGUCGGGUGUGAAAUCUCGGGCUUAACUCCGAAACUGCAUUCGAUACUGCCGUGCUUGAGGACUGGAGAGGAGACUGGAAUUUACGGUGUAGCAGUGAAAUGCGUAGAUAUCGUAAGGAAGACCAGUGGCGAAGGCGGGUCUCUGGACAGUUCCUGACGUGAGACACGAAGGCCAGGGAGCAAACGGG